rnacentral:rRNA from 1 species
GACGAACGCUGGCGGCGUGCCUAAUACAUGCAAGUCGAACGCUUCUUUCCUCCCGAGUGCUUGCACUCAAUCGGAAAGAGGAGUGGCGGACGGGUGAGUAACACGUGGGUAACCUACCCAUCAGAGGGGGAUAACACUUGGAAACAGGUGCUAAUACCGCAUAACAGUUUAUGCCGCAUGGCAUAAGAGUGAAAGGCGCUUUCGGGUGUCGCUGAUGGAUGGACCCGCGGUGCAUUAGCUAGUUGGUGAGGUAACGGCUCACCAAGGCCACGAUGCAUAGCCGACCUGAGAGGGUGAUCGGCCACACUGGGACUGAGACACGGCCCAGACUCCUACGGGAGGCAGCAGUAGGGAAUCUUCGGCAAUGGACGAAAGUCUGACCGAGCAACGCCGCGUGAGUGAAGAAGGUUUUCGGAUCGUAAAACUCUGUUGUUAGAGAAGAACAAGGACGUUAGUAACUGAACGUCCCCUGACGGUAUCUAACCAGAAAGCCACGGCUAACUACGUG